rnacentral:rRNA from 1 species
AGGGGCRGCGUUACCGGAUUCACUGGGCGUAAAGGGGUCCAGCGAUCCAGUAUGUCGGGUGUGAAAUCCCACAGCUCAACUGUGGAAUUGCGCCCGAAACUACUGGGUUUGGGGCUGGUAGAGGGAGACGGAACUGCUGGUGUAGGGGUGAAAUCCGUAGAUAUCAGCAGGAACGCCGGUGGGGAAGCCGGUCUCCUGGGCCAAGCCCGACGCUGAGGCCCGAAAGCUAGGGGAGCAAACCGGAUUAGAUACCCGGGUAGUCCUAGCCGUAAACGAUGCCCACUAGGUGUGGGGGAGUCAUUCCUCCGUGCUGUAGCUAACGCGUUAAGUGGGCCGCCUGGGGAGUACGCCCGCAAGUGAAAACUCAAAGGAAUUGGCGGGACCCCGCACAAGCGGUGGAGCGUGUGGUUUAAUUGGAUGCUAAGCCAAGAACCUUACCAGGGCUUGACAUGCAGGUGGUACCAACCCGAAAGGAAAGGACCCUUUCC